rnacentral:rRNA from 1 species
GAUUUCUGGCUUGGUGCGCGCCGUCCGCUUCCGCUAGGGAGUGUGUGCGGUUGUGCGCCUGCCAUCAUUUUAGACAUUAUGCUGUGCCCUUCACUGGGUGGCAGGUAGUGGCUGAAUCUUUUACUUUGAAAAAAUUAGAGUGUUCAAAGCAGGCUUGCGCUAUGAAUACAUUAGCAUGGAAUAAUAAUUUAGGACUCCUGUUCUAUUUUGUUGGUUUCUAGGACGGAAGUAAUGAUUGAUAGGGAUAGUUGGGGGUGCUAGUAUUCAGAGGCCAGAGGUGAAAUUCUCGGAUUCUCUGAAGACUAACUUAUGCGAAAGCAUU